UAUAUAUUCAUAUAUGUUAUAUUAUUAUCAAAAGGACAAGAUCCUAAAGAUAAUAUAUAUAUUCAUAUAUAAGCACAUCCGCUUCUUUGCUGUUCGUUUCGAGUGCUCCCAUCGAUAGCAGUAGUGACAUUGAUUGAGACAGUAGUGUACUGAGAUGAGAGAGAGAGAGAGGAAACAAAAAGGCGACACCAUGGCAAUAAAACGUGAAAGGAAAGUCUCUCAACAUAAAGAGCAUACUAUGGCCUCACCCCUUUCUUCUUCUUCUCCUGCAAAAAUAUCGAAUCUAUCUUUGUAUAUUUGCUCUUUUCACCUGAUAUCAUUCAUUCUUUUAGCUUUUGGCACCUACACCGACACCUUCGAAAUUCAGUACGGUUGGAAUACAUAUUUUGGUAAAUUUAAAUACCUCACAUACUGGAAUAUAUGGAUACAAACGUUGUAUUUUGUCAUUUCUUUACUGUAUGACCUCAUGAAAUGGCGAAGCGUGAGUAAAUGCGAUCAAAACAAGGUAAGACAGCUGCAGAUUGUCAUAGAUCACGUUCAUGCUACUAUAGUUUUCCCAGUCGGAAUUUUUGUGGUGAUCACAUUUUGGUUAAUUUACCAUUUCGAUCGCGAGUUGGUGUUUCCUUCUUUCCUUGAUGAAAUCAUUCCAGGUUGGUUGAACCAUAUUUUGCACACUUUACCAUUGGUCCUUCUCUUUUUGGACAAGUACCUCGUCCCUCAUUGUUAUCCUCCCAAACUUCGUGGAAUUGGUUACACAUUCUGCUACACUAGCAUCUACGUGGUAUGGAUCCUUUUCCUGGCCUUCGCUAAAGGUAUAUGGGUUUACCCGAUCCUUCAAAUCUUAAAUAAUCAACAGAGGUUUGUCUUCAUAAUUCUUCUAUGGUUGUUUGGAAUCAGCAUUUACCUAGUCGGAGAUGGUUUUUCCUGUUUCAUGUGGAGGGCUUCACCCCAACCCACGAAGACCAGAAAAAAUAAAGUCAAAUAAAUUAACAAUUACAUAAAUUGAAUGACUGUUAACAUUCCACACACACACACACACACACACACACACACAUAUCUUA
rnacentral:misc_RNA from 1 species